rnacentral:rRNA from 1 species
CCUGAGAAACCCGAAAGAUCGAAUGGGGAGAUUCAUCGUCAGCGAUGCUGGUAUGUGUGCGGGUCGGGAUGCCUCAGAACUUGUUCUCGUGGCACGCGUCCGCACGCUGCACUCUGUUGCCCGGUGUCGUCGGCGUGCACUUCUCCCCUAGUAGGACGUCGCGACCCGUUGGGUGUCGGUCUACGGCCCGGGUGGGCGCCUGUCUCGUGUGCGCUUCACGGCAUCACUGCGGGGCAGACCCCCGGCUGCCCGACCGUCUGCCCGGCGGUACUCGCAAGGUAUCUGGCCGCAAAAAUUCGAACUGCGUCCGGCCCGUCGCAAGCGAGGCAAGUGCUUCCCGAAUGCACGGAUCUAAUGCCGUCAUCGGGCCUUGCCAGCUGUUGGUUGACGGUGUCCUAGGACUGGCUAAACUAAUUAUGAUACCGGUCAGCGACGCUACUGCUUUGGUACUUUC